rnacentral:rRNA from 1 species
CCUGGUAGCAAUAGCGAGUGUGAACCACCUGGAACCAUAUCGAACCCAGAAGUGAAACUGCUCAGCGCCGAUGAUAGUGUGGGGUUUCCCCAUGUGAAAGUAGGACAAUGCCAGGC